UACGGGGGGGGCAAGCGUUGUUCGGAAUUACUGGGCGUAAAGGGCUCGUAGGCGGCCAACUAAGUCAAACGUGAAAUCCCUCGGCUUAACCGGGGAACUGCGCUUGAUACUGGAUGGCUUGAGAUUGGGAGAGGGAUGCGGAAUUCCAGGUGUAGCGGUGAAAUGCGUAGAUAUCUGGAGGAACACCGGUGGCGAAGGCGACACCCUGGACCAGCACUGACACUGAGGCACGAAAGCGUGGGGAGCAAACAGG
rnacentral:rRNA from 1 species